rnacentral:rRNA from 1 species
UACGUAGGGUGCGAGCGUUGUCCGGAAUUAUUGGGCGUAAAGAGCUCGUAGGCGGUGUGUCACGUCGUUCGUGAAAACCUGCAGCUUAACUGUGGGCGUGCGGUCGAUACGGGCAUCACUGGAGUUCGGCAGGGGAGACUGGAAUUCCUGGUGUAGCGGUGAAAUGCGCAGAUAUCAGGAGGAACACCGGUGGCGAAGGCGGGUCUCUGGGAAGUAACUGACGCUGAGAAGCGAAAGCGUGGGUAGCGAACAGG